UGGGGAGGAGUGGGCAGACUACUAAUCUGCUGAGUCGAUUGGAAUCGAGGUUCCCCAG
rnacentral:tRNA from 1 species